rnacentral:rRNA from 1 species
UGCACCCUACGGGGGGCAGCAGUGGGGAAUAUUGCACAAUGGGGGGAACUCUGAUGCAGCAAUGCCGCGUGAAGGAUGAAGGUUUUCGGAUUGUAAACUUCUUUUGUACGGGACGAAGAAAGUGACGGUACCGUAAGAAUAAGCCACGGCUAACUACGUGCCAGCAGCCGCGGUAAUACGGAGGAUGCGAGCGUUAUCCGGAUUUAUUGGGUUUAAAGGGUGCGUAGGCGGAUUUUUAAGUCAGCGGUAAAAUGUCCGGGCUCAACCCGGGCCGGCCGUUGAAACUGGGGAUCUUGAGUGGGCGG